rnacentral:rRNA from 1 species
UACAUGCAAGUCGAGCGAAUGAUGAGGAGCUUGCUCCUCUGAUUUAGCGGCGGACGGGUGAGUAACACGUGGGUAAUCUGCCUGUAAGACGGGGAUAACUCCGGGAAACCGGGGCUAAUACCGGAUAAUAAGAAGAAACGCAUGUUUCUUCUUUGAAAGUCGGUUUCGGCUGACACUUACAGAUGAGCCCGCGGCGCAUUAGCUAGUUGGUGAGGUAACGGCUCACCAAGGCGACGAUGCGUAGCCGACCUGAGAGGGUGAUCGGCCACACUGGGACUGAGACACGGCCCAGACUCCUACGGGAGGCAGCAGUAGGGAAUCUUCGGCAAUGGGCGAAAGCCUGACCGAGCAACGCCGCGUGAGCGAUGAAGGCCUUCGGGUCGUAAAGCUCUGUUGUUAGAGAAGAACAAGUACGAGAGUAACUGCUCGUACCUUGACGGUACCUAACCAGAAAGCCACGGCUAACUACGUGCCAGCAGCCGCGGUAAUACGUAGGUGGCAAGCGUUAUCCGGAAUUAUUGGGCGUAAAGCGCGCGCAGGCGGUCUCUUAAGUCUGAUGUGAAAGCCCACGGCUCAACCGUGGAGGGUCAUUGGAAACUGGGAGACUUGAGUGCAGGAGAGAAAAGUGGAAUUCCACGUGUAGCGGUGAAAUGCGUAGAGAUGUGGAGGAACACCAGUGGCGAAGGCGGCUUUUUGGCCUGUAACUGACGCUGAGGCGCGAAAGCGUGGGGAGCAAACAGGAUUAGAUACCCUGGUAGUCCACGCCGUAAACGAUGAGUGCUAGGUGUUGGGGGGUUCCACCCUCAGUGCUGAAGUUAACACAUUAAGCACUCCGCCUGGGGAGUACGACCGCAAGGUUGAAACUCAAAGGAAUUGACGGGGGCCCGCACAAGCAGUGGAGCAUGUGGUUUAAUUCGAAGCAACGCGAAGAACCUUACCAGGUCUUGACAUCCUCUGACCACUCUAGAGAUAGAGCUUUCCCCUUCGGGGGACAGAGUGACAGGUGGUGC